UACGAAGGGGGCUAGCGUUGCUCGGAAUCACUGGGCGUAAAGGGUGCGUAGGCGGGUCUUUUAAGUCAGGGGGUGAAAUCCUGGAGCUCAACUCCAGAACUGCCUUUGAUACUGAGGAUCUUGAGUUCGGGAGAGGUGAGUGGAACUGCGAGUGUAGAGGUGAAAUUCGUAGAUAUUCGCAAGAACACCAGUGGCGAAGGCGGCUCACUGGCCCGAUACUGACGCUGAGGCACGGAAAGCGUGGGGAGCAAACAGG
rnacentral:rRNA from 1 species